rnacentral:rRNA from 1 species
GUGAGGAAUUUUCCGCAAUGGGCGAAAGCCUGACGGAGCAAUGCCGCGUGGAGGAUGACAGCCCGUGGGUCGUAAACUCCUUUUCUCAGAGAAGAAGUUCUGACGGUAUCUGAGGAAUAAGCAUCGGCUAACUCUGUGCCAGCAGCCGCGGUAAUACAGAGGAUGCAAGCGUUAUCCGGAAUGAUUGGGCGUAAAGCGUCUGUAGGUGGUUUAUUAAGUCUACUGUUAAAUAUCAGGGCUUAACCCUGAGCAGGCAGUGGAAACUAAUAAGCUUGAGUACGGUAGGGGCAGAGGGAAUUCCCGGUGUAGCGGUGAAAUGCGUAGAGAUCGGGAAGAACACCAAUAGCGAAAGCACUCUGCUGGGCCGAAACUGACACUGAGAGACGAAAGCUAGGGGAGCGAAUGGGAUUAGAUACCCCAGUAGUCCUAGCCGUAAACGAUGGAUACUAAGUGCUGUGCGAUUCAAAACGUCCAGUACUGUAGCUAACGCGUGAAGUAUCCCGCCUGGGGAGUAUGCUCGCAAGGG